rnacentral:misc_RNA from 1 species
AAGUCGUAACAAGGUAACCGUAGGUGAACCUGCGGUUGGAUCAUUAAAAAAUGUUUGGUCUCGUGCCAAAUCAACAUUUGUGUGCACCAUUGUCUGUCCUUGGUAGUUCGAGUCGCGCUCGGCCGAUCUCAACAAUCGGUGAGCGCCUACCCCUUAGGGGGUUGGGCUACCGCCUUUUUGAACAAACCUUCAUGUUGUUUUCUUUUAUGCCUGAACGAAAAGUUAAUCUUUUUUGGCCACAGUAAAUAACCUUAGUCUAAACGUUUGUCUGAUCUUUUACUUAUAACGAGUAAAAAAACCAAUACAACUUUCAACAACGGAUCUCUUGGCUCUC